GGGGGCGACCGGUUUUGACGUGGGUCGCGAAACCAUUGGAGCAUGCCGAGGUGGCAGACAUCCUCGUAAAUCCUGGCUGCAAACUUUUAGUUGCCAACGACGACAACUACGCUCUGGCGGCUUAAACCCGCCAGCCUCUCGUCCUGAAUCGCCUGUAGUUCGGGAGCCGGGAGUCAAAAAUGCAGGACCGCGCCGCCGCCCGCCCGUAGCGGCCGGCGUUAAACAGAAACGGGCUCGCCGCGCGCCACACCUGUCUGCCGAUGGGGGCGCGGCUAAAAUGAGCGCAGACUAAGCAUGUAGGGCCAAUGAGCGUAGGGCUGACGGACGCGGGUUCGAUUCCCGCCGCCUCCACCA
rnacentral:tmRNA from 1 species